rnacentral:ncRNA from 2 species
GGACGACACUCUGGAGAACAAUAUUUUUAAUUGUACCGAAGAAGUAAACUGGUAGUUAUAUGGGGAAAAACGAUCAGCAAUCUUUCAGGUAAAAGGACAGAGGCAGACAA